AGAUUUUGAGAAUGGGAACAUCCUUUCUCUGGCUAAGGAAGACUGACAGUCUUAAGGUUUAGAAGUUGCCACCUCUGAGCCGACUUCCACCAAAAUUCCCCAGAAGGUUGUGCAACCAUGUGAAAUUAGCAUCAAGACCUGGCAGGAAUACAGUUUGGGCAGGGCGAAUAUUUUACUGAUGUCAUCAGCUCCAGCAUGAAAGAAGCUGGCAUUUCAAACAACAGAAAUCUCAAGUG